CCUACGGGGGGCAGCAGUGGGGGAUAUUGCACAAUGGGGGAAACCCUGAUGCAGCGACGCCGCGUGAGUGAAGAAGUAUUUCGGUAUGUUAAGCUCUAUCAGCAGGGAAGAAAAUGACAGUACCUGACCAAGAAGCCCCGGCUAACUACGUGCCAGCAGCCGCGGUAAUACGUAGGGGGCAAGCGUUAUCCGGAUUUACUGGGCGUUAAGGGAGCGUAGUCGGUUAUGUAAGUCUGGAGUGAAAGCCCGGGGGCCAACCCCGGGACUGCAUUGGAAACUGGGUAACUGGAGUACAGGAGGGGCAGGCGGAAAUCCUGGUGUAGCGGUGAAAUGCGUAGAUAUCAGGAGGAACACCGGCGGCGAAGGCGGCCUGAUGGACUGAAACUGACGAUGAGGCUCGAAAGCGUGGGGAGCAAACAGGAUUAGAUACCCGUGUAGUC
rnacentral:rRNA from 1 species